rnacentral:lncRNA from 1 species
UGUCUCUUGAAUAGAGUCAUGGUGACUGUAAGUCGAUCAACUGUAUCAUACUGAGGAUCUAUACCUGACUUCUUUGAAACCUUGACCAAUCUAUCUCCAACUCUGAUAUAAAAAGUCGAACCCAAACUGAAGCGAGUAACAUUCCUAUAAGGUACAAAGACGCGGAAAGAGAAAUGACAUGAAGGAAGCUCAGAAGAGGUGGAAACACACUAAUCACAAUGCAGAAAAGUGGCCCAACUGAGACUCAAACAUGUACCAAUCUCUGAGCACACCAAAAGGAGACCAUG